UACGGGGGGGGCAAGCGUUGUUCGGAAUUACUGGGCGUAAAGGGCUCGUAGGCGGCCAACUAAGUCAGACGUGAAAUCCCUCGGCUUAACCGGGGAACUGCAUCUGAUACUGGAUGGCUUGAGUUCGGGAGAGGGAUGCGGAAUUCCAGGUGUAGCGGUGAAAUGCGUAGAUAUCUGGAGGAACAUCGGUGGCGAAGGCGGCAUCCUGGACCGACACUGACGCUGAGGAGCGAAAGCCAGGGGAGCAAACGGG
rnacentral:rRNA from 1 species